AUGCCAGCAAAUUUGGAAAACUCAGCAGUGGCCACAGGACUGGAAAAGAUCAGUUUUCAUUCCAAUCCAAAGAAAGGCAAUGCCAAAGAAUGCUCAAACUACCGCACAGUUGCACUCAUCUCACAUGCUAGUAAAGUAAUGCUCAAAAUUCUCCAAGCCAGGCUUCAGCGAUAUGUGAACGGUGAACUUCCAGAUGUUCAAGCUGGUUUUAGAAAAGGCAGAGGAACCAGAGAUCAAAUUGCCAACAUCCGCUGGAUCAUGGAAAAAGCAAGAAAGUUCAAGAAAAACAUCUAUUUCUGCUUUAUUGACUAUGCCAAAGCCUUUGACUGUGUGGAUCACAAUCAACUGUGGAAAAUUCUGAAAGAGAUGGGAAUACCAGACCACCUGACCUGCCUCUUGAGAAACCUAUAUGCAAGUCAGGAAGCAACAGUUAGAACUGGACAUGGAACAACAGACUGGUUCCUAAUAGGAAAAGGAGUACGUCAAGGCUCUAUAUUGUCAUCCUGCUUAUUUAACUUCUACGCAGAGUACAUCAUGAGAAACGCUGGGCUGGAAGAAGCGCAAGCUGGAAUCAAGUUUGCCGGGAGAAAUAUCAAUAACCUCAGAUAUGCUGAUGACAUCACCCUUAUGGCAGAAAGUGAAGAGGAACUAAAGAGCCUCUUGAUGAAAGUGAAAGAGGAGAGUGAAAAAGUUGGCUUCAAGCUCAACAUUCAGAAAAGUAAGAUUAUGGCAUCUGGUCCCAUCACGUCAUGGGAAAUAGAUGGGGAAACAGUGGAAUCAGUGACAGACUUUAUUUUUUGGGGCUCCAAAAUCACUGCAUAUUGCAGCCAUGAAAUUAAAAGACUCUUACUCCUUGGAAGGAAAGUUAUGACCAACCUAGAUAGCAUAUUCAAAAGCAGAGACAUUACUUUGCCGACUAAGGUCUGUUUAGUCAAGGCCAUGGUUUUUCCUGUGGUCAUGUAUGGAUGUGAGAGUUGGACUGUGAAGAAGGCUGAGCGCCGAAGAAUUGGUGCUUUUGAACUGUAG
rnacentral:lncRNA from 1 species